UCUACAGAAGACAAGGAAACCAGAAUCGGCGUGAAAAACCUACCAGCUCUGCCAGGACAAACUCGAUCAAGCGGAAGCUAUCGGAGGAUUUCGAUGCCGAUCGAACGGUCGCCAUUGCGUCGACUGGUAAAGCUCAAGAAGAUAUCGUCCGCGAUGUUCUCGCUCAGGUCGCAAUCCUCGACUCCACUUUCUCGUCCACCGAGGCGGAUCGGGCCACUGCCAAGUGCGCAGCACACGUUCAUUCGGAACUUGCCAAGAACGGCAUGAAGCGGGAAUCGCAUCACUUGUUGAUUUGCUUGAACUCAAUGUCAUGAAGGUGCAGAGAGCAGGAGCAGGGGCUCUGCGGACUAUUGCUUUUAAAAAAGGUGAGAACAAAAAUCAGGUUUGAGGCGGUUGGCUAUGAUUUUAUCCGGGAACUCUAGUAAUUCACUUACAUUUGGACAUCUUUUUGAACACUUAUAUCGCCAGAAACAGUUACUUCCCCAUUGAGUAUUUUUGUCGGGUCCGUGUGAUUGGUAAUCUGGUGCAUUCAUCCCCUAAAAUUAAGAAGGAAGUUUACUUGCUGGAGCUUUACAACCUGUAAUCGGAUUACCGAGUCCCUGCUGUUCUGAGAGCCAAAGGGUAGCAGCUUUGUUGCUUGGGCAAUUUGCAGCUACUGAUUCGGACUGCAAGGCGCAUAUUGUUCAGAGUGGUGCUGUCCCACCAUUAAUUGAGAUUGAGAUGCUUCAGUCCCCUGAGCCCAACCUGAGGGAAAUGGCAGCAUUUGCAUUGGGGAGGAUAAUGUUGCUGAUUUUUUUAUGUUUGGAGGCUUUCAGAAGUUUCAAGAUGGAGACUUUUUUAUGCAAGUUCUUUAUCACUUCACUUCAAUGUGCCAUUUAAGAUUAUAAAUUAUAAUUCAAGAUGGAAUUUUUUUUCUUUUUUCCUUGCAGCCAAACAUGGAUCGUACAGCCAAGACUAUAAAAAGAUUGGAGGAGAAAAUUCAUGGACGGGUGAGUUUCUUUUUCCUUUUCUUUUCUGGUUGUUACUCUUUUCCUUUGCUGUUUAUACUGAAUUAAUUGUGGGGUUAAAACUUAGAAACACCGAUUAAUAUCCGGGUUUGGGGUUAGGCUUUAGCUUGGGCCUGCCAACCGUCCAGCACGUGCACACUUAGAACAAUGUAUCCCUAAUAAAAUCCGAAGUCCAAAAAUAUUAGAUUAAAAAAAAAGGUUUUCUCAUAAUCGUCUCGUCUCUUCCUUCCUUGCCCUCAUUUUCUUGGCAAAAUUAAGAUAUCCCAUGAAUGGAAUAGUAUGCCUGCCUUGUCUGGAAUUGCAUGACUCCAAUUUUUCAUUAAAUCCACUGUAGCUUUUAGAGCCUCUACAGUCUCGGAUUUUUUUGCGGCUCCUUUGUACAAAUUGCGGAUGCAAAUUUGUAUCGUUUGCUUUGCAUAGAAAUCGUGAAGUAGCAUGUCAUGUGGUUGACUAGGUUGUUCAAAGGUGUAUAAUAUAUUUAUUUAUAUAUAUAUAUAUAGGUAUACUAUUAGUUUAAUGGAAGAAAAAAACACCUGGGAAUGGUUAAUGGAAUUUGAU